UGGGGAAUUUUGGGCAAUGGGCGAAAGCCUGACCCAGCAACGCCGCGUGGAGGACGAAAUCCCUCUGGGAUGUAAACUCCGAAAGUCAGGGAAGAAAUCCGGGCGGUGAAUAGCCGGACGGGAUGACGGUACCUGAUAUAAGCCCCGGCUAACUACGUGCCAGCAGCCGCGGUAAUACGUAGGGGGCAAGCGUUGUUCGGAAUUACUGGGCGUAAAGGGCGCGUAGGCGGCACGGCAAGUCGGGAGUGAAAGCCCGGGGCUCAACCCCGGAGGGUCUUCCGAAACUGCCGAGCUAGAGUGCGGAAGAGGCAAUCGGAAUUCCCAGUGUAGCGGUGAAAUGCGUAGAUAUUGGGAAGAACACCGGAGGCGAAGGCGGGUUGCUGGGCCGACACUGACGCUGAGGCGCGAAAGCCAGGGGAGCAAACGGG
rnacentral:rRNA from 1 species